rnacentral:rRNA from 1 species
AGUUUGAUCCUGGCUCAGGAUGAACGCUGGCGGCGUGCUUAACACAUGCAAGUCGAACGGGAAUUAUUUUAUUGAAACUUCGGUCGAUUUAAUUUAAUUCUAGUGGCGGACGGGUGAGUAACGCGUGGGUAACCUGCCUUAUACAGGGGGAUAACAGUCAGAAAUGGUUGCUAAUACCGCAUAAGCGCACAGAGCUGCAUGGCUCAGUGUGAAAAACUCCGGUGGUAUAAGAUGGACCCGCGUUGGAUUAGCUUGUUGGUGGGGUAACGGCUCACCAAGGCGACGAUCCAUAGCCGGCCUGAGAGGGUGAACGGCCACAUUGGGACUGAGACACGGCCCAGACUCCUACGGGAGGCAGCAGUGGGGAAUAUUGCACAAUGGGGGAAACCCUGAUGCAGCGACGCCGCGUGAAGGAAGAAGUAUCUCGGUAUGUAAACUUCUAUCAGCAGGGAAGAUAGUGACGGUACUUGACUAAGAAGCCCCGGCUAACUACGUGCCAGCAGCCGCGGUAAUACGUAGGGGGCAAGCGUUAUCCGGAUUUACUGGGUGUAAAGGGAGCGUAGACGGUGUGGCAAGUCUGAUGUGAAAGGCAUGGGCUCAACCUGUGGACUGCAUUGGAAACUGUCAUACUAGAGUGCGGAAGAGGAUCGUGGAAUUCCAUGUGUAGCGGUGAAAUGCGUAGAUAUAUGGAGGAACACCAGUGGCGAAGGCGACGGUCUGGGCCGCAACUGACGCUCAUUCCCGAAAGCGUGGGGAGCAAAUAGGAUUAGAUACCCUAGUAGUCCACGCCGUAAACGAUGGUCACUAAGUGUCGGGGGUCAGACCCCGGUGUGGCAGUCAACGCAAUAAGUGACCCGCCUGAGUAGUACGUUCGCAAGAAUGAAACUCAAAGGAAUUGACGGGGGCCCGCACAAGCGGUGGAGCAUGUGGUUUAAUUCGACGCAACGCGAAGAACCUUACCAGGACUUGACAUCCAACUAACGAAGCAGAGAUGCAUUAGGUGCCCUUCGGGGAAAGUUGAGACAGGUGGUGCAUGGUUGUCGUCAGCUCGUGUCGUGAGAUGUUGGGUUAAGUCCCGCAACGAGCGCAACCCCUAUUGUUAGUUGCUACGAGAGAGCACUCUAGCGAGACUGCCGUUGACAAAACGGAGGAAGGCGGGGACGACGUCAAAUCAUCAUGCCCCUUAUGUCCUGGGCUACACACGUAAUACAAUGGUGGUAAACAGAGGGAAGCGAAGCCGCGAGGCAGAGCAAAACCCUAAAAGCCAUCUCAGUUCGGAUUGCAGGCUGCAACUCGCCUGCAUGAAGCUGGAAUUGCUAGUAAUCGCGGAUCAGAAUGCCGCGGUGAAUACGUUCCCGGGCCUUGCACUCACCGCCCGUCA